rnacentral:rRNA from 1 species
UACGAGUGCCCCGAGCGUUAUCCGGAAUCAUUGGGCGUAAAGGGUGUGUAGGUGGUUCUGUUAGUCUUCCGUUAAAUUCUUCGGCUUAACCGGGGCAUGCGGGGGAAACGGCAGAACUUGAGGAGUGCGAGAGGUGUGUGGAACUCUAUGUGUAGGGGUGGAAAUCCGAUUGAUAUAUAGGGGAACACCAAAAGACGAAGGCAGCACACUGGCGCACUCCUGACACUGAAACACUAAAGCGUGGGUAGCGAAUGGG